ensembl:snRNA LOC120103236 U6 spliceosomal RNA
CUGCUUUGUCAGCAAUUGUAAAAUUUAAAUAAUACAGAGAAGAUUAGCCUGAUCCCAUAAAAUGAUAACCUGAGACUUCAUGAAGCAUUUCGUAUUUUC